UACGUAGGAUGCAAGCGUUGUCCGGAAUUAUUGGGCGUAAAGAGCGCGCAGGCGGUAUGACAAGUCAGAUGUGAAAGAGGCCGGCUUAACCGGCAAGGGUCAUUUGAAACUGUCAGACGUAGAGUGCAGCAGAGGAUAGUGGAAUUCCCGGAUGUAGUGGUGAAAUGGCGUAGAUAGUCGGGAGGAACACCAGUGGCGAAGGCGACUAUCUGGGCUGCAACUGACGCUGAGGCGCGAAGGCUAGGGUAGCAAACAGG
rnacentral:rRNA from 1 species